CAGAAAUUUACCAAAAAUUACUGCCACAGCAGUCCAGCAGCAUGAUAAAAGGAACCACUGCUUACAGCCUCGCUGAUGCAUUGAAUACGUGUCUUUGGAAAAGAUUUCUGGGAAUCGCCACCGUUUUGGACCUACGGUUCAAAACCCUUGUAAUUGGGAAUGACAAAAAUGCUGAUGAGGCCAUUAAAGCUAUGACAGCAGAAGCAUGACAGCUGGCUAAAGUUAGUGGCACUCAAGCUGUUGUGACCGGAGCAUGCAGUACCCUACCUGAUGAUGUAUAGAAAGACUUUGAUGCCAAGGUUACACAGCUGAAUCCAAACAUGGACAUCACAGCAGAGGUGAAAAUGUACCUCACACUCCCCAACAAAGACAGGAAGUCCUCUAGA